AGUGAACGCUGGCGGUAGGCCUAACACAUGCAAGUCGAACGGCAGCACAGUAAGAGCUUGCUCUUACGGGUGGCGAGUGGCGGACGGGUGAGGAAUACAUCGGAAUCUACUUUUUCGUGGGGGAUAACGUAGGGAAACUUACGCUAAUACCACAUACGACCUACGGGUGAAAGCAGGGGAUCUUCGGACCUUGCGCGAUUGAAUGAGCCGAUGUCGGAUUAGCUAGUUGGCGGGGUAAAGGCCCACCAAGGCGACGAUCCGUAGCUGGUCUGAGAGGAUGAUCAGCCACACUGGAACUGAGACACGGUCCAGACUCCUACGGGAGGCAGCAGUGGGGAAUAUUGGACAAUUGGCGCAAGCCUGAUCCAGCCAUACCGCGUGGGUGAAGAAGGCCUUCGGGUUGUAAAGCCCUUUUGUUGGGAAAGAAAAGCAGCAGGUUAAUACCCCGCUGUUCUGACGGUACCCAAAGAAUAAGCACCGGCUAACUUCGUG
rnacentral:rRNA from 1 species